rnacentral:rRNA from 1 species
AAAGCAGACCGCGAACAUGUUAAACCACUUGGGAACGAGGCACGGGGGCAACCUCGUGUCGAGUCCCCCUCCCGUGUGCGUGCGUUUGAUCUCAAGCGCUCGUACUACGGGCUAACGAACCCCGGCGCGGCAUGCGCCAAGGAAUACUCAUAGAAGCGUCCUCCUUCGUAGCCCCGUACUCGGUGUGCGAUGUGGGUAGGUACGUCUCUCCAAAGUCUAAACGACUCUCGGCAACGGAUAUCUCGGCUCUCGCAUCGAUGAAGAACGUAGCGAAAUGCGAUACUUGGUGUGAAUUGCAGAAUCCCGUGAACCAUCGAGUCUUUGAACGCAAGUUGCGCCCGAAGCCACUUGGUUGAGGGCACGUCUGCCUGGGCGUCACGCAUCGUGUCGCACCCCACAUCUAUCCCAUACGUGGUGAUGAAGUGUGGGGGUGGAUAUUGGCCCCCCGUGUACAUUAGUGCGCGGUCGGCCUAAAUGCGAACCCGCGGCGACUCGCGUCACGACCAGUGGUGGUUGAACACUCAACUUUCGUACUAUCGUGAUGAAUGUAGUCGCAUGUCGGGCGUCGUUAUAAACCCAAUGGCUCGAGCAACUCGAGUUUUCGACCGCGACCCCAGGUCAGGCGGGA